rnacentral:rRNA from 1 species
UACGAAGGGGGCGAGCGUUGUUCGGAAUUACUGGGCGUAAAGGGCGCGCAGGCGGCCUUAGAAGUCAGAUGUGAAAGCCCCGGGCUCAACCUGGGAAUUGCAUUUGAGACUGCUCUGCUCGGGUGCGGAAGAGGGAAGCGGAAUUUCCGGUGUAGCGGUGAAAUGCGUAGAUAUCGGAAGGAACACCAGUGGCGAAAGCGGCUUCCUGGUCCGACACCGACGUUCAGGCACGAAAGCGUGGGGAGCAAACAGG